UACAGAGGUGUCAAACGUUGUCCGGAAUUACUGGGCGUAAAGGGCGCGUAAGCGGCCUUAUAAGUCAGAUGUGAAAGCUCUGGGCUCAACCCAGGAAUUGCAUCUGAUACUGUAAGGCUUGAGUUCGGUAGAGGAGGGCGGAAUUCCAGGUGUAGCGGUGAAAUGCGUAGAUAUCUGGAGGAACACCCGUGGCGAAGGCGGCUCUCUGGUCCGAAACUGACGCUGAGGUGCGAAAGCUAGGGUAGCAAACAGG
rnacentral:rRNA from 1 species